UUGUUAUGGUUGAUUGGAAUUAUGGAUCCAAUCGAAUAGCCAGUAAGCAUGCUAGCACAUGUGGCUAACCCUAGCUCCUUGGGAGAUCAGGUUUGAUCUCAAUUCUUAGUUUUUGGCUAACCCAAUUUGGUAAGUAUUUGAGUUAGAUUGAACCACCUAGAGGUAGUCCAAAGUGGGGCACCUCAAGCCUCCUCCAUGCCAUAUAACCAAGAGUCUAUUUAGUUAAGGACUCUUGGCGCU
rnacentral:lncRNA from 1 species